GAGAUGUCUCUCAAACAGUAAGAUUACAUGUUUGAUCACCCAUUUUUCUUAAUAUUAAUAAAGGUGUUAAAAUAAAAGGUAAGAACAACGUACACUGUAGGGGUCAAGUUUUCAUAAAUGUGUUACUUGUACACUUGUGUUGCAUAUGAAAUAUUGAUAGAACUCUACUGAUGAUUAAGAAAUCUUUGAUUCUGACAACAUAUGUACUUAUCUGAUUAAAAGACUGAAAGCAGGACUGGAGACAUUGAGGUGCUAAAUGCCAUAAAGGAGCACUCUUCCAUUAUGGAGGAACUCUUUUGUGGUGGUCCACUCACCCUGUCAGCUGCCUCCUCGCUGGUCUCUUCACGAUACAUUACUCCCCGAGAGGAACUGACAAGAGCCUUGGAGGAGGUGGCAGUUGGUCACUGACUGGAUUGGAUUAUUGAAGUUGAAGAUAUGGCAAGUACUUCAACUGCCAGUCCUAACCAGUCAGUUACUGGCUACAUUCACAACAUCACACCUCUGCGUCAUGGGGUUAAACGACAGUACUUCGAAGGAGUCUUACAACAACGCCACAAAGUCUGUAAGCUUCUGGUGUUCAAGGUGAAGAAAGACUGAUGCCCUGUCCAACUUAAUAAUGUGGUUGUCCAGCCGUCAAGGAGACAAGAUGAAAUGGACAUACUGUUCACCCACCAAUCCAAAUGGUGUUGCUUGAGUUCCAGUGACUACCCUUACAACCCCACCAUAAUGGUCCCCAUUCAAGACCAAACAAUUAGCCAGUUUCUGCAAAUGGAUAUGGAAUACCACAGAGUAAGUACUAGUGGUGGGGAGGGGGUAAAACAGUUUUAUCAUUCAAUCUAUUCUAAACCCUUCAAGAAAAUGUUGGUAGCUUGGUUAACAAAUGCAGGUUUACUAUGCCCUUUACACCUCUGCUCAUUCCACAGAUCCAGGAACUGAAUUCAUAAUUAAAUAUCAGGUACUAGUAACCGUAUUAGACUGUUGACCCAAUAUCCUGUUUAUGCUCCUUCAGGUAACUUUACAAGUCAACGUGUUACACUAUCCCUGAUCAAGUCUCUUUCUCUAAGAGUUGGUUGACAUCUUGUUGCAAAGUUACUGUUACCACAGUAGACUAGAUAAAGUGGGAUAUGAAGGUAAUGAAACUAGAAAUAUACCAUAAGACACUAAUUCGUAUUGUUAAUGUUCUGCAGGUUAACAUCACUGUAAAGAUAAUCCAGAUGGAAAGCGAAGGACAUGCAUCAUGGCAUCAUGGAGCUUACUGUCUGGGGCGUACAACAAAACCUUCAGCUGGACUCCUGGUUUUACAUAACCAAUGUUUCGUUACGGAUGUUCAGAGGUACAAAAUUCCUGUCCACGACAUAAGAGACAAAAUUUACACCCACCACAUGCACUGACCCCACAUUUCCACUACAGCCCAGCACAUCUGAACAUGUAACUGGAAACAUCAUUGGCGCCAAAGUCAACAUCAUCUACAUUUGUCCACUUAAGCACAAGUUAAAUCACAUGGCACUUUCCUGCACAAGAGUCCUCUGUGACAAAUGCGAUAUAUUUUACAGAGCCGACGCCAUUACACUACACACACGCCAGACUUAAAAUAACAACCACGACCUCUGAUGACAUCAAAUCCGUUAACAUAGAGAACCACAUUCUCCGAUCCACAAUCCAAGUUCCAAAAAACGCCACAACCGACACAAUGGACGCUCUUUUAGACCUCCCCACUAUGAAUAUGACAAUACACAACUACAUCACCCACCUGGCAUAUCCGGAAAAAUCACAUACAGACACCCCACAACCCAGCAGUCCACCCAUGCACUUCUCACCACCUACACAAUCUGCAGCUCCAAGUGAUGACCGAGCCGAACUUGACCUUUUUAUAGUGGAAUCUCCAAUAGACAGUCAGCCGAAAGUAAACCAGCCAACUUCCCAAUCUCCCACUUCUAUUGCAGAUACCCCCAAUAAGUAAUGUAUUGUUAGUUAUAAAUUGCAACUUGUUUUUUUUUUUUUUUUUGAGGAAAUGUGCUUUUGUUUAAAUUUCAGUCCUGUGAGCACUUGAAGUAGCUCUUAGUUUUAUCCUUCCUGAUUUAAAUUGACUCUGUAAAUAUUGAAGAUGCAAGAUGUUGUAUGCAUUUCCAGUUUUUUUUUCUGUCUUUGACUAUGGGGACAUGUUUUUUCUGACUGUUAAUAAAGAACCCUCACUUCAAUGCUUUACUCUUGUUU